rnacentral:rRNA from 1 species
CUACGGGAGGCAGCAGUGGGGAAUUUUCCGCAAUGGGCGAAAGCCUGACGGAGCAACGCCGCGUGAGGGAUGAAGGCCUCUGGGCUGUAAACCUCUUUUAUCAAGGAAGAAGAUCUGACGGUACUUGAUGAAUAAGCCACGGCUAAUUCCGUGCCAGCAGCCGCGGUAAUACGGGAGUGGCAAGCGUUAUCCGGAAUUAUUGGGCGUAAAGCGUCCGCAGGCGGUCUUUUAAGUCUGUUGUUAAAGCGUGGAGCUUAACUCCAUUUCAGCAAUGGAAACUGGAAGACUAGAGUGUGGUAGGGGCAGAGGGAAUUCCCGGUGUAGCGGUGAAAUGCGUAGAUAUCGGGAAGAACACCAGUGGCGAAGGCGCUCUGCUGGGCCAUAACUGACGCUCAUGGACGAAAGCCAGGGGAGCGAAGGGGAUUAGAUACCCCUGUAGUCCUGGCCGUAAACGAUGAACACUAGGUGUCGGGGGAAUCGACCCCCUCGGUGUCGUAGCCAACGCGUUAAGUGUUCCGCCUGGGGAGUACGCACGCAAGUGUGAAACUCAAAG